UAAUUAUUAUAAUGAUAAGUAAUAAUAAUGAAUAAUAAUAAUAGUAGUAUUUUGGAUACUUUUAGAUGAUAUUUAUAAAUAAAUAAUAUUAAUAAUCAUAAAUUAUUAAUAAUAAUAAUUAAUGAUAAUAAUUAUUUUAUAUUAUUUGUAUUAAUAUAUUAAUACUUGAUGAUGAUAUAUAAUAACAAUAAUAUCUUAGAAGUAAAUUAAUAUUACUAUUUUAAUAAUUAUAUUUAAUAAUAUAAUAAUAAUUAGUAAUAAAAAUAAUGAUUGGGUUGGCCCGUGAAAAUUACAUCAUAAACCGUCUUGACGCGAUUUGAUUGGUUUAUGGGCUGAAAAACGUGGGUUUAUUUGUGUUUUGACCUAAACCAUCUUCCUCCUAAUAAUAAUAGUAAUAAGAAUGAGUAAAGCUAUAAUAAAUAAAAUAAUAUAUAGAAACAACAACAGCAAUAAUAAUAAUAAUAAUAAUAAUAAUAAUAAUAAUAAUUAAUAGUAAUGAUAUAAAAAUAAAUAAUAAUAAUAAUAAUAAUAAUAAUAAUAAUAAUAAUAAUAAUAAUAAAUUAUACCAACAUAAUAAUAAUAUUUAACAAAAUGAUUAUAAAAGAAUGGAGUUGAGCUGAACUGAACUGAAAAUAAGCUGGGGAGAACAUGCCCUAAAUGUCCACUUGUGAGUUCCUACAUUGGAGAAAGAGGAGAGAAUAAACAACUUUAUAAGAUUAGGAGUUACUCAUACUAUCACCAAUUUAUUUUAGGAUUGAACCUCCUAGCUUGUAAGUGGGCUAAACUCUAACAGUCCUACUAUCACUAAUUGGUUUUAGGAUUUGAACAAAAUCUUACAUCUCUAUUAUAUAAGUCAAUAUGAAAGCUAUGCUGUCCCCUUUUGAAAAGACUUUUUAACCCUUCAUUCAAUAAAAAUACUUACAGAUUAAGAUUUUGAGAUUUUCCUCAAUAAUAGUCCUUAAUUCAAAAUAUUUAUAUCAAAACAAGUUCAAAGUAGUCAAAAUAAACUUUUAUAAAAUACGUGUAGUGAAAGAAAAAGUUUGUAAUUGAAGAACAAAGUAACAUAACUAAAAAAGUUUCUAAAUCAAUUACAAAACAAAACACAUAAAAUUUUAAUUUUGCCUAAACUUUGAAAUGCAAUAACAAUACCAACAUCCAUUAACAAGUAAUAGAAAUACCAAGAAACCACUUCUUCAUCAAGUAAUUUUUAUAUUUUGUAUUUACACCACAUGAUAUUUUUAAUUAGAGCUAAUGAUGAUUGUAAAUUACAUUCUUAAAAAUUGCAUUUAGAUAAAAUUUGAUAAUAAUUGCCAAAACAAUCCACGCACGCAUCGCGUGCAAAGGAGGCUAGUAUACUAUAUGUUAAAACGAGUACUUAAAAUCUUUUAUUGUCUAUUAAAGUAUGAUAUAUUGUUCAUAUUCUUCUCCUAUCACAUGUUGUAAACAGGAAUAUAAAGUGAAUGAUAUCAUUGAUAAUUGAUAUGAGAGGUGUAAAAUCAUAAGUUCUCUAUUUUGAAAUAAGUGAAACCUUAUUAAGAACUAUUUUAUUUAUUUUAGAAUAGAAAAAUUACAUAAAUCAACAUCCGACUACAUAGGCUUCAACUCUUCAACUUCCAUCUCAUGAAUGCCCGAGAAAUGUGCUGGAGUACCAUAGUUAUGCAUGGACACUAACACUGUAAUGUUUUGGUCUGUAGGUCCCACAUAAUUUCCAUCAAAAUUGUUGUUUCCAUCACUUUCUAGUGAAAAGAAGAUAAAUUAUCUAUGCUUGUGAUUGUUGCUUUCCAACAAAUUUUCUUCCUUUUUCCUGAUAAAGUGGUGGCAAAGUAAGCCCUGUAGAGUUGAAAGUGAUUGGUUAACGAAGAACUUAAGUCGGCAGAGGAAGUUGACAAAAAAAGCACAGUACCAUGUAGUUGUACUCAGUACUCCAAUUGUUUUUGCGAUAUCAAAAAGACUAAAUAUUUCCAUUAGUUGUCUAGAAUACAAAUAAUACAUUGUUUGCAUGUCAA